GGAGAGCACUCCUACGGGAGGCAGCAGUGGGGAAUAUUGCACAAUGGGCGCAAGCCUGAUGCAGCCAUGCCGCGUGUAUGAAGAAGGCCUUCGGGUUGUAAAGUACUUUCAGCAGUGAGGAAGGUGGAUAUGUUAAUAGCAUAUUCAUUUGACGUUAGCUGCAGAAGAAGCACCGGCUAACUCCGUGCCAGCAGCCGCGGUAAUACGGAGGGUGCGAGCGUUAAUCGGAAUUACUGGGCGUAAAGCGCAUGCAGGUGGUUUGUUAAGUCAGAUGUGAAAGCCCGGGGCUCAACCUCGGAAUUGCAUUUGAAACUGGCAAACUAGAGUACUGUAGAGGGGGUAGAAUUUCAGGUGUAGCGGUGAAAUGCGUAGAGAUCUGAAGGAAUACCGGUGGCGAAGGCGGCCCCCUGGACAGAUACUGACACUCAGAUGCGAAAGCGUGGGGAGCAAACAGGAUUAGAUACCCUGGUAG
rnacentral:rRNA from 1 species